CGACGCUGGCGGCGUGCCUAAUACAUGCAAGUCGAGCGGAUCUCUUCGGAGGUCAGCGGCGGACGGGUGAGUAACACGUGGGCAACCUGCCUGUAAGACUGGGAUAACUCCGGGAAACCGGAGCUAAUACCGGAUACUAUGUCAAACCGCAUGGUUUGACAUUCAAAGACGGUUUCGGCUGUCACUUACAGAUGGGCCCGCGGCGCAUUAGCUAGUUGGUGAGGUAAUGGCUCACCAAGGCGACGAUGCGUAGCCGACCUGAGAGGGUGAUCGGCCACACUGGGACUGAGACACGGCCCAGACUCCUACGGGAGGCAGCAGUAGGGAAUCUUCCGCAAUGGACGAAAGUCUGACGGAGCAACGCCGCGUGAGUGAUGAAGGUUUUCGGAUCGUAAAACUCUGUUGUCAGGGAAGAACAAGUGCCGGAGUAACUGCCGGCGCCUUGACGGUACCUGACCAGAAAGCCACGGCUAACUACGUGCCAGCAGCCGCGGUAAUAC
rnacentral:rRNA from 2 species